CACGGGUCCUGGGUUCCAAGCCUUCAGUCUCCAAAUUCAUGAUCAUACGAUCGCGUGACUCUCCUCUCUUGCAUGAUCGAGCAUCAACCAGUUGAUUGUUAUUUCUCCUCUUGUGACCUACGGAUUACUGCCUCUAGGCAAGCGCAAAACCAAAACUUUCACCACUUCAUGCGGAAAGGGUAAGGAUGGAUUUCCUUCAGCUCGUAUUGGCUUUGAGACACGGGUAGUUAAAGGUGUCGAGAAUUGAAAGAACAUAUUGAGGCAAUGCAAUAUCUCACUAGCCAUUCUCUGGACUAUCUGCUUGAUCCAAAUCAAGGUGACCAGUUGCACGUCUACCCGAAGGUAGUAAGAGCUUUUUAUCACACACUUAGUGAGGUUCCGGGAGAUGAGCAUGAGAGCAUGAGUGAUUAACCCAAAUCUUACUCGGUGAUCAUUCAAAGGAAUGUAAUUCAGUUUUCUACUCUAGAUAUUGGUGAGCUGAUUGGGUUCCCUCGGGCCUUUGUGCCUAGUAUCUAUUUUGAGCCAGUAUAUGUCACAACUUGUACUGAGAUGAUCAUGGCUCUUUCUACUGAUCCAUACACGGGAUAGUCUAUUAGUAGCACUCCGACGUUGGAUGAGACUUCUUGAUACGGUGGUAAAGAAGAACUUGAUCCUAGUAGGUCAUGAUUAGGUGUGAAGAGGCCUUUUCAUAUAGGUAUUAUAUGCCAUGCAGAUUAAGCAAUGGUUCAAUAUCGGUGAGGUGAUUCUAGAUUAGAUAGAAAAGGUUAAAACUAUUUUGGAGGAUGAGCAGGCUAAUAUGUCACUACUAUUUCCUUAGCUUAUCACCCGCCUUCUACAAAAGCAUGGUAUCACUCUGAGGGAGAAACUGGAUGUUGAUUUCCCUAUGGCUAAUUUCUCUAUUGCCUCCUGAAAUCUUAGUAGAGCACAUCUUCAUAAGACCCUUUCUCAGGGCUCUCUUGGUUCUAUAGCUCAUGGGAGCACCGGAGCACCUACCACGAUUGAGCGCUUCGAACGUUUACAGACUGAGCUCCUUGUUGUUGCUGAGGAGCAGGCGAGCUUACAGGCUUACAUGAUGAGUGGCUUUGAGGAUUUGCAAACUGAGCAGAUGACUACCCAAGCUGGAUUAGAGGUGCUUAUGGAAUUCUUGGGGUGCCGGCCAUCCGACGUUCCACCUCCAUCUUGAUUUUCUCAGGUUGUGUUGUUCCCUACUUUUGUUGCUUUUUAUUGUUUUAUCUUUUUCGCAUUGGGACACUGUUGUUUUCUAGUGUGGGGGUGGGAUCCAUGAGACAUGUAUCGUUUCUUUUCUUUUGGACUUGUAUUCAGAUCUUCUAUAUUAGUACAUCUGGUGUGUUUAAAAAAAAACAAUUGUGAUGUUUGUGGGUAGCGUACUGGUAAGCCCUCAUGAGAUUAUAACUCAUUAACUCGGGACACCUCAGGGUUUAAAGGCUUGUGGUACGUGCUAAGUACAAUCGUGAUUCCCUACGACAAUAGGCUGUUACGAUAGUUAGAGUUUUUUGUUUUCGUGGUUUUGGGUUACUCGCUCCUUCGCAAUGAUGGAAUUGAUUUAUGCCCUUGAUUACUCUGAGGUUGAUUUGCUUGAAUUUUUUAUUUGGAGAUUAAAUGUUUCAUGAAUCAUUAACUUGCAUGUGAAGUCAAGAAUUUUGCAUGGUGUUGCUCAUCACAUACAAAAUUGCGGAGACUGAAACCCAUUGAAAUUUUGAGCCAUUCAUUUGUAUUUUGAGGGAUAUAUUUUGACUCCAUAAUUUAUUUCGUGCUUAAUAAUAAUUUCUUGAAAUAGAUCUCAUAUUUCUUGAAAAAGAAAGAGUAUGCGUUCGAAAGAAAAAAAAAAAAAAGAUAUUUAGGGUUGUGUUCUAUUGUUGUUGUUAAUGUAGCGUGAUGAGUUUCAAAGAGUGGAAAAGUGUGGGUAAUGUAUUGUGAAUUGGUUGGGAACUAAAAAUUUGAGAAGUGUUGAAUUGAUUUAUUGAAACUUUGAUGGUUCUCUUGAAUUUUAUGUUCUCCUUAGCCCUUUUGCUUCUACCUAAGCAAUAACCUAUGCUUAUGUUACAAGCCUAAAAAGUCCUACUUGAUCUUGAGAAUGAUUUGGUUUGAUUUGGAAAAGUGAUUUGAGAUAUGGUUCACACUUCUUGGUAAGUGGUAUCCAUUGACGAGAUCUAAUUUGUUUCUUUGAUAACGUUCUUCAUGAAUUGUAUGUGGGAUUUUGCUAUCUUGUUUAUAUUAUUCUGCCCUCAAACGCUUGAGAGUAUAUUUUAGUCAGUUUCAUUGUGAUUUUUGUUCUGAGCGAAUUAUCUGUAAGGAUUGAAGUUGAAGCUAAAUGUUAUAUAUGUGAUGAAUGAUUACUUUUGUGAAUUUUGAGAUGAAUAUGACGGUUUGUUAUUCCGAUUCUAUUGAAGUCUCUAAGUUGAGGUUUGGGUAGGUUGUCGUUGGCUGUGAUUUUGGUAAGUAUGAAUUUCUGAGAUUAAUGAAGGAGCAAGAACCUAUUUUGUGUUUUCUUUUCUCCUAUUUUACUCAAGGAUGAGCAAAAGAUAAGUGUGGGGAUAUUUUGAUGUGCAUAUAUUUUAUACCCCUUUUGUGCAUAUUUAUAUAUCGUUCUUGGUAAUAAUUGUUGGAAUUGGGUUCAUAUUACUAGGGUUCUUUGUGUUUUUAUUGUAAGAAAGUUGGAGUGUAAGUAUGGAACGAAAAUGAGGUGUUUUGACAUGAAAUUGUAUCGAAGAAUAUAUUUGAAGAAGACUUGAGCCAUCUGGAGGGCUCAAGUAGAGAAAAAAUAAGCUAUUGGAACAGAAGAUUGAAUUCAGAAGGCUCGAGACUUUAGGAGGGCUAAAGCCUGAAAGAACUAAUCUGCUGGAACAACAUGCAGCAUUUGGGAGGCUCAAGCCUCCUAAAUGUACACCCUAAUUGAUAAUUUAUCAUGGACAUUUGUCAUACAAUUAGGGUCUGAAGUGAUUAUUACAUAAUUAAAGUACAAAUAUCAUUUUUAAUC